UCCACAGGCCAAACCGGAUUUUUCCUUAAGCAUUUUCAGAGCAUCAGCGAGAACCUCCUUCGAAGCCAAAAGUGUUCAGCACCUGAAAAACAUUUCAAUCUAGUUCUUUCUGGAUAAAAGAAAGAGAGCAAGAAUUAAGCUAAGGAUACUAUCCCCUCUGAUGCUAAUAGUGUGUCAGGAAUGAAAUUCUUCCAUGAAUCUUGGAGCAGAGAAUAUCCCAUUUCAUAAAAUCAAAUGUGCCUUUGCCACACGAGUGCAUGAAAUAUCACUACUGAAGGAGCAGCAGUUUUGAUUGUUGGAGAGUAGAAGUGGAAAUCCAUUUUAGUGUGUGCUGAUGACUGAGGUAUUAU